AUCAAAGUUAGCGUCGGAAUUCCGAAAAUUCUAUUUACAUUUUGUUUCGCGCCCACUUUGCGCCGAAACACUUACUUAUCAUCGGAAUUCAUUCUCACGCGUCCAAAGUCACUCGGGGAUGACGUCCAACCAGCUCAAUUCUCACUUUGAUCCAAUAGAUCAAAGUUUACAUCGCAGCUCCAGGAUGCCAUAUGUUACACAGCACGUCCACCGAGAGCAGCCUCUAGCUCUGCUCCUUCGCCUCCAUCCCGAGGGAGUUAUGAUACUUCAUCUAGUUCGGGGGGAGCGACGACGUUGGAAUCAGUUAAAGAGGAUUUGCGAAAAUUAAAGAAGAAGGUGAACAAUAUUGGGAGAAAAGUUGAGUCAAGCAUCAAGAAGUUUGAAUUAAGUAUCAGAA
rnacentral:lncRNA from 1 species